UACGUAGGGGGCAAGCGUUGUCCGGAUUCACUGGGCGUAAGGCGCGCGCAGGCGGCGAUCUGCGUCUGGGGUGAAAGCCCGGAGCUCAACUCCGGGAUUGCCUUGGAUACGGGAUCGCUUGAGGGUCGGAGAGGCAAGGGGAAUUCCACGUGUAGCGGUGAAAUGCGUAGAGAUGUGGAGGAACACCUGUGGCGAAGGCGCCUUGCUGGCCGAUUCCUGACGCUGAGGCGCGAAAGCGUGGGGAGCAAACAGG
rnacentral:rRNA from 1 species